rnacentral:rRNA from 1 species
CUAAGAAUAUUCCGCAAUGGACGGAAGUCUGACGGAGCGACGCCGCGUGGAUGACGAAGGCCGAAAGGUUGUAAAGUUCUUUUGCUGGGGAAGAAUAACCGCAGGAGGGAAUGCCUGUGGGAUGACAAGAACCGGCGAAUAAGCCCCGGCCAACUACGUGCCAGCAGCCGCGGUAACACGUAGGGGGCGAGCGUUGUUCGGAAUUACUGGGCGUAAAGGGCAUGUAGGCGGCUUGGAAAGCCUGGCGUGAAAAGUCUGCAGCUUAACUGCAGGGGUGCGCUGGGAGCUGCUGAGCUUGAGUGACGGAGAGGGAGCUGGAAUUCCUGGUGUAGGGGUGAGAUCUGUAGAUAUCAGGAAGAACACCGAUGGCGAAGGCAAGCUCCUGGCCGAUGACUGACGCUGAGGUGCGAAAGUGUGGGGAUCAAAACAGGAUUAGAUACCCUGGUAGUCCACACAGUCAACGAUGUGCACUAGGUGCUGGGGCGGUAGCUUCGGUGCCGGAGCGAACGUGGUAAGUGCACCGCCUGGGGAGUAUGCUCGCAAGGGUGAAACUUAAAGGAAUUGACGGGG